rnacentral:lncRNA from 1 species
UGGCCUUGAACUUCUUCCAGUAUGGUCCUGUUCUGAUCACAGGAUAGUCUUCAUUGCUCACAUCCACUGGCCAAGUAACUGUUAGGAUCCAGGGAUAGGCAAUGAAUUUCUUGUACUGCAAUCCAGUUUCCUCAUCAAAGGUUUCUGUCAUUUUUUGCAUGACAUCCAUCCUGUUUGAUGGAAUUUUGUUUGCAUCUUGUUUGUGUGAAUUCUGAAACAUCUCUGCUGUUACCACACCUUGGCAGCCUGAGCACUGAAUGAAGAAGUUGAUCAGAUCUAGAAGUGCC